GGCGCUGUAGCUUAGUGGCAGAGUAUUUAUCUGGCAUGUAUGAGGCACUGGUUCGAUCCUUAGCACCA
rnacentral:tRNA from 1 species